rnacentral:rRNA from 1 species
AACGAACGCUGGCGGCAUGCCUAACACAUGCAAGUCGAACGAGACCUUCGGGUCUAGUGGCGCACGGGUGCGUAACGCGUGGGAACCUGCCCUUAGGUUCGGAAUAACUCCCCGAAAGGGGUGCUAAUACCGGAUAAUGUCUUCGGACCAAAGAUUUAUCGCCUUUGGAUGGGCCCGCGUUGGAUUAGCUAGUUGGUAGGGUAAAAGCCUACCAAGGCGACGAUCCAUAGCUGGUCUGAGAGGAUGAUCAGCCACACUGGGACUGAGACACGGCCCAGACUCCUACGGGAGGCAGCAGUGGGGAAUAUUGGACAAUGGGCGAGAGCCUGAUCCAGCAAUGCCGCGUGAGUGAUGAAGGCCUUAGGGUUGUAAAGCUCUUUUAACCGGGAUGAUAAUGACAGUACCGGGAGAAUGAGCUCCGGCUAACUCCGUG